UCAAUGAUUAACGGUACUACU
rnacentral:piRNA from 1 species